GAUGAACGCUGGCGGCGUGCCUAAUACAUGCAAGUCGAGCGAAUGGAUUAAGAGCUUGCUCUUAUGAAGUUAGCGGCGGACGGGUGAGUAACACGUGGGUAACCUGCCCAUAAGACUGGGAUAUCUCCGGGAAACCGGGGCUAAUACCGGAUAACAUUUUGAACCGCAUGGUUCGAAAUUGAAAGGCGGCUUCGGCUGUCACUUAUGGAUGGACCCGCGUCGCAUUAGCUAGUUGGUGAGGUAACGGCUCACCAAGGCAACGAUGCGUAGCCGAACUGAGAGGGGGAGCGGCCAAACUGGGACUGAGACACGGCCCAGAAUCCUACGGGAGGCAGCAGUAGGGAAUCUUCCGCAAUGGACGAAAGUCUGACGGAGCAACGCCGCGUGAGUGAUGAAGGCGUUCGGGUCGUAAAACUCUGUUGUUAGGGAAGAACAAGUGCUAGUUGAAUAAGCUGGCACCUUGACGGUACCUAACCAGAAAGCCACGGCUAACUACGUGCCAGCCGCCGCGGUAA
rnacentral:rRNA from 1 species